ensembl:snRNA U6 U6 spliceosomal RNA
GUGCGCCCUUCGGCAGCACAUAUACAAAAAUUGUAACGAUACAGAGAUUAGCAUGGCCCCUGCGCAAGGAUGACUCGCAAAUUCAUGAAGCUUUCCAUAAAUAU